ACAAAACAUUUUUUAAAAAGUUCACGUUUUAUACUAUCUCCAUUCCAAAAUAUAUGAAUUUAGCCUACCAAAAUGUCAUUCUAAAGCUAGUAUAUUUUGGGACCGGGGAAUAUAUUUUAGAACGGAGGUAGUACUCCUUGAUUACCAAAAGAUGCCCCACAGUUUGGUAAUUUACUACUCUCGAGCUGUUGAACAGUGCAAUCUUUUUGUUAUGUGUGUUUUUCUUUUUGCGCCGAAUCUAGCACGGACUCCUACCGUAUCGUGCGCAAUAGCCUGAAGAAAGAAAGGGUCACGUGGACUUCCCUCUUCUUGCAUUCUGACGUCGCAGCAGAUUGCAUACUUAUCAAUUUUCUUAUUAAAUACACCUAUCCAUCUGGUACGUUUACAAGCUUCUAUCUACUAGUACAAGUCUUUGACUUCCAAAGCCAGCCUAUAAAUACUGCAUAUCCUCUCUGACAUAAAAGUUCUUGCUCCAUAGCAAACCAAGUGGAGAAAGGAAAGGAAGCAUACUCGAAACUUCGCCCAACACCACCCACCGAUCAUGAGUGCAAGAAAUGCUAUCAUAUGCUUUGUGUUGAUUCUUGUAUUGUUCCCGGAUCAUGGCUCCGCAGGAUGCUGGGUGAAUAUCAAUGGCGGCCCACUCUGCAUAGGCUUUCUGUGCAAGGCGACUUGCUUGAUUGCGGAGAAGAUGUUUAAUUGCGUUCUCAAGGAGCACAGGUGCGAGGGGACACCGCUCAAUAGCGAAUGCAUGUGCUAUCUCUGCGACAAAUAGUCGGUUAACAUGGGAGCUGAAGAUAGCCUCAUGAUUACAAAGUGUCAAACAAUGGGAAUGAAUAAUUUCUAAUAGAAACCAGUAUCCUCAAAUCCGAUGCAGUUUCCUGCAUUCUCAAAUGCCGUGUCAUCAAUAUUCAUGCAUACUCCAAGAUUUCGCUGCAAAACAACAACAGGCAUGUGGAUGGCAUGCCAAUCAUGUGCUAUGUACUUUCAUGGACGAAAAAGCUGCUUUCUUCCUGACCGCA